GUAGAACGCUGAAGACUGGUGCUUGCACUAGUCAGAUGAGUUGCGAACGGGUGAGUAACGCGUAGGUAACCUACCUCAUAGCGGGGGAUAACUAUUGGAAACGAUAGCUAAUACCGCAUGACAAUUAAGUACUCAUGUACUAAAUUUAAAAGGAGCAAUUGCUUCACUAUGAGAUGGACCUGCGUUGUAUUAGCUAGUUGGUGAGGUAACGGCUCACCAAGGCCACGAUACAUAGCCGACCUGAGAGGGUGAUCGGCCACACUGGGACUGAGACACGGCCCAGACUCCUACGGGAGGCAGCAGUAGGGAAUCUUCGGCAAUGGGGGCAACCCUGACCGAGCAACGCCGCGUGAGUGAAGAAGGUUUUCGGAUCGUAAAGCUCUGUUGUUAGAGAAGAACGGUAAUGGGAGUGGAAAAUCCAUUACGUGACGGUAACUAACCAGAAAGGGACGGCUAACUACGUGCCAGCAGCCGCGGUAAUACGUAGGUCUCGAGCGUUGUCCGGAUUUAUUGGGCGUAAAGCGAGCGCAGGCGGUUAUUUAAGUCUGAAGUUAAAGGCCGUGGCUCAACCAUGGUUCGCUUUGGAAACUGGAUAACUUGAGUGCAGAAGGGGAGAGUGGAAUUCCAUGUGUAGCGGUGAAAUGCGUAGAUAUAUGGAGGAACACCGGUGGCGAAAGCGGCUCUCUGGUCUGUAACUGACGCUGAGGCUCGAAAGCGUGGGGAGCAAACAGGAUUAGAUACCCUGGUA
rnacentral:rRNA from 1 species